UUGGGACAGAGAGAAGCAUGAUUCCAGGCCAAGUUCUUGCAUUCUCAGGUCGAGCUUCCUUAGAUUCCCUUUCUUCCAGGCGGCUGGUUCCUUCUCCUCUGUCUAGACGUUCCACAGGAGACGCAGUAUCGCAUCUGCUGAAAUCUUUAUACCUGCCUUGAGGGCUUCUGGGAGAAUUCCGUCAGGCCCAGCUGUCUUUCUGUUCCCCGGUUUCCUCAGAUCAAAAGCUACGGCCAAGGGUUUUUUUUUUCAAAAGUACACCAAACUUCAAAGUCAGUGUCAUGAGAUGAAAAAUCAUAGAACAUUCGAAAAAGUCUUGUCACAGACUAACCUAAUUCUAAGGAGUUGUCCUGUGCCAUCAGCGGUGUUUGGGAGUGGAUGAGGCUAUCUAGGGCGUCAUGUUUGGGGGUUCCUGGCAUUUUUGCGGAUCUGUGUGUAGUGGUAUUUUAUGAAACUGUCACCUGUAAGAUAUCGAAUGGUAGUUUACAACACUCUAUAUACAUGUAAACAAAUUUCAGCUUUACUGAGAUGCAUCUGGCUGAAGAUGCAGUUGCUAAUUAAAAACACCUUUCCAAA